UCUCCUACGCACCCACAGCUGCCACCCUCUCCCUCCCUCAGAUCUCGAUCCGACCUAGAUCGACGCUGCCACCCCUCUCUAACCCUAGCUUCCCGUCGCUGGUGGCAGCGCCCUCCCUCACUCGCCCUCUCCUCCUUCCCUCCUCACGGUCGCCUCCACCAUGCCACAAACCCCGGCGACGGCCUCGUGUAGAUCCCACCCUGCUCCGCAUCACCGCUCUCCCGGCCAUCUCUCCGUUUCCCCAUAGCCACACCUCAUCCUCCUCCCCCUCCCCCGGUUCCGUCCCCAGCCCCGCCCGGAUCCACCGUGCUUGUCCAGAAUCGCCGCCCCCACCCCGCCGUCGAUCUCGCCCAUGGCUGCCGCCACCACCCCGCCGUCAUCCUCGCCCACGACGGCCGCCCCCACCCCACCGUCGUCCUCGCCCAUGGCGGCCGCACCACCCCGCCAUCGACCUCGCCCCCGGCCAACGGCCUCCUCCAUAUCCUUCUGACCCCAAGGCUGAGGUUGUUCCCGUCUAUCUCCCCUGUGUGGGCAUGUACAUCAUCGGCAAGCGUGAGGAGGGGUUGUCGUAGUUGCUUCUUCGCCUUCCCCCAUCUCACGUCCCCAUUGCCUUGCCACGUCUCUCACCUUGCCCCUCUCCAUGAUGCAUUGCAGAACUAUUUCUGGAGGCCCUCGGCGCCGCAUUAGAUGUCGGAUGGUCUCGACCGGAUCCUGCUGCCCAACAAGGAGUUGGAGGAAAAGAGGAAGGAGAAGGACAAGAUCUCCUACGACAUGAGAAAGCAACUAGCGAAGCUCCGCGUCAAGGCUGAGAAGGCAGCCGAAAGAAGUUAGGAUCUCACCUGGAGAUCCUGGCCCCUAUCAAAUACUAAAGCUAUCGUGCGCCAUCAGUUUUGGGAAACCUCUGUCGUAUUUUAAGUAGUUUGGUAACUCUGAUAGUACAAUCUGGUUGGUGAACCUUUGUUAUGCAUGCAGUUCUGCGACACUCAUUUGAAAUUUUCUACAUGGCGAACUGUUUCAUUUAUCAAAUGUGUGCAUUUGGAAAUUCUAGUGGACGUCGUUUUUCUCUUUGCUAUGGCCUUUGCAGUCCCUUGUUAUGACCUAUCGUGGGAAAUUUUUAAGCGUGUUUUCCCUUUGUACAUGUCGUUUUGGGCCAUCAUAGUUGUCUCUACACCAAGUUGGUAAAGUCUACUUUCACUGCGGCAAGUUCCAUUUGAGCUCUGUAUGUUUAAUGUACAUCGCAUGUGUGUGUUUGAUGUUGAUGUCGCUUGUGGUUUUGCAGGGUUCUGAGGCUGCAGCCUGGGCACAGGUACUGCCUCCUCGGCCAGCUCUCCAAGGAGGUUGGAUGGAACUACGCUCAAACCAUCAGAUCUGUAGAAGCUGCCGCUGCCGUUGCCGCUGUUGCAGGUGGAACAAGAAGAAGCCCUCAUGGCUGCUGCACAUCUGAAGUGGCGAGCGCCACCCCAUUUUUUUGGUACUAUGAAGUGUUAGUUGGGCUGCGACUUGAUGGUCAUGCUGCUGUUUUGCUCUGCUUGAUAAUUCCAAUCAGAUCAUUGUCCACACUAUCAUCAUCAGAAGAUCUAAUGUUGUUGAGGAUGCUGGUGCUACGACAGAAGAUCAAGGAAGCCUCGAGAUGUGCACCAUAGUUUUAGUUGAUGUUGCUAGUUUGCCACCAUGUUUUGAAUAUUUGAUGUUGUUGAUGUUGCUACUUUGCCACCGUGUAUAUGCUGUUGGACAUGCAAACAUGUAUGUGAUGUUGUGAAUAUUUGAGCGAAUGAUUCUGUAUUUAAUAAUUUAAUAGAGAAUUAUUUAUUUAUUUUUC